rnacentral:rRNA from 1 species
CACGUAGGGUGCGAGCGUUGUCCGGAAUUAUUGGGCGUAAAGAGCUCGUAGGCGGUGUGUCGCGUCGGCCGUGAAAACCUGCAGCUUAACUGUGGGCUUGCGGUCGAUACGGGCAUCACUGGAGUUCGGCAGGGGAGACUGGAAUUCCUGGUGUAGCGGUGAAAUGCGCAGAUAUUGGGAGGAACACCAGCGGCGAAGGCGGCACUCUGGGCUGGUAUUGACGCUGAGGAGCGAAAGCGUGGGUAGCGAACAGG